UUGGAGCACUACUACCAAGCCAUGUGGCCUGGCAUAUGAUUGCGAAGACUUUUCGGAUUGGUGCCUUAGUACUGACUGCGAAGACAAUACCGACAUCACAUUACCAUGUGUGCCUUCAGAAAUGAGCCCUGGGAAUGAGAGCACCAGCAGCGCAGAAACAACAACCCUGGCUGUACAGCUUGCCCUAUGGGCCAUACAGACUCAAAUUCCCCUUCAACACCUUUCCACUCUGCUAAGUAUUCUUCAUCCGCACCACAACGAAUUGCCUCUUGAUGCACGGACACUAUUAUCAACACCCAGGAGCACAAAUGUUACCUCGUGCUGUGGUGGUGAAUUCAUCUACCUAGGAAUUUUGAAUGGCAUUAAGAGGUUGAUUGACAACUGCGUUACAUUUGUUUCUGAAA